rnacentral:rRNA from 1 species
AAACUUAAAUGAAUUGACGGGGCCCGCACAAGCGGUGGAGCAUGUGGUUUAAUUCGACGCAACGCGAAGAACCUUACCAGGGCUUGACAUCCCCUGACCGCGUAUGAAAGUACGUUUUCACCUUCGGGAGACAGGGAGACAGGUGGUGCAUGGUUGUCGUCAGCUCGUGUCGUGAGAUGUUGGGUUAAGUCCCGCAACGAGCGCAACCCCUACGUUUAGUUGCUAACGCGUGAAGGCGAGCACUCUAGACGAACUGCCGUUGACAAAACGGAGGAAGGUGGGGAUGACGUCAAAUCAUCAUGCCCCUUAUGUUCUGGGCUACACACGUGCUACAAUGGCCGGUACAGACGGACGCAAAGCCGCGAGGCGGAGCAAAUCCGAAAAAGCCGGUCUCAGUCCGGAUUGGAGUCUGCAACUCGACUCCAUGAAGUUGGAAUCGCUAGUAAUCGCGGAUCAGCACGCCGCGGUGAAUACGUUCCCGGGCCUU